rnacentral:lncRNA from 1 species
UACAGGACUUGGUACCAGCUGACACACGUGGCUGACAGCAGCUGAUAAUGAAGCCUUUUCUCCCUGGUCCUGAACUACUUCAGUGAAGAAAAUGAACAGUGUCCACUACUCAAUAGAGGUCUCAUUCUAGAAGGAGAAAUAGAACAAAAAAUAAAAAGAGGAAAUUAUAUAUGAAAUCUCCAGAGUGGAGAAAGUUAGACAUUUUAGUCAAGGUCAUGAGGAAACACCUCAGUGAGAAGGGAUGGAAUGUGGCUGUCCAGGCAAGGAGCUUCUUAGGCAAUAGAAAAUCAGUCCUCUCCUGAACUGCAUCUGACUGAUAAUCUCAUAUAUUGACUUAAAAAUGGGGACAACUUUGAGGCAUGUUUGCCCACCUCCCAGGAGUCCUCAGCGGUAUUGGGCGCCAGAGGGCACUUUCUUCAACUAGGAGACCUUUGCCAGAGCAUGUGAAGACCUUCUUGGCAAACACCAGCCAUGCUCACUUCUCACCAUCCCCCAGUGCCACCUACUCUCUGCUCAACACUCUCCAUGCCCCUCCCAGAGCCAUUGAUCCCGUUCCACCAGAAGAUCACAUCUUAGAAAUGCCCCAGACAUCGUUGGACAUUUCUUCAUGCUUCAUGAGCUUCAAAAUCUUUUAAAAAUUUAAUGCGCUUAUGAAUCUCUAACAAGCUCCUAAAUAACUUGUAUGCUAUUGUUAAAAAACUCCAAAUAUUAAUAAGUAUUAGUAAAAUGUUGCUGUUAAUAGUAAAUCAGCUAAGCGUCAAAAUGCUACCUGGAAAAGCAAGCAGAAUAGACAUUCCAAUGUUAAAGGGCAUCAAGAGCAAGACUCUUAAAGAGCCUAUGAAAUCAUUUAAGUGUGAGAUAAAAAGGUUGGGAAUUUCAUACAUAUUUAGCAUUGCCUGAGAAAUGUCUCUAAGUUUUUCUUUUUUCACUCUAGAAUAUUACCAAAGUUGCAGUUAAUUACAUUUCUGCUGCUACAAAAACAUUUUUUCAUGCCUCAGUGAUUCAUGAAUCUUCCAUUGUGUGUAUUAGGCAGCAGCUCUUGUAGACAAUGACAGAGAAUAAAAUGCUUCCAGAGGAAACACGAUUCAGGUGUCUGUUUUUGGGUUAUGCGGUGUCAGAUUGGUCCCAUUGUGCUUCAGAGAGCAUUUGUUAUUUUGUGAUAUGGCUACAGACAGGUUUAAGAUCCAGAUCAUCAUCUUACUUCAAAGAGUGUGAAUAAAUGAUUCAAGAAAGAAAAAUAAGAAUGGAGUAUUUGGAUAACAAUAUAUUCUCAAUUUAAAACGGUUUAUGAAGGGAACAAACAUACCAUGCAAAUGAGAAGCAGUUUUAGAAGGGGAAGUGUUGUGCUUCAUCACAACUAAUUAUUACUUGAAUAUUUAUUAGUAGUAUGAGAAACUAAAUGUCUAUGGCCAUACCACCCUGAACGUGCCGGAUCUCAUCUGAAAAGGAAAAAAUAGCUUCUACUUUCAAUGGUGAGAUAUAAACAAAAGUUCUCUUUCAUUACGCUUAACAAAAAAUGUGCAUCUUUAAAUUUUUUUUUUUUUUUUUGAGAUGGAGUCAUGCCCUGUCACCCAGGCUGGAGUGUAGUGGCCCGAUCUCAGCUCACUGCAAGCUCUGCCUCCCAGGUUCAUGUGAUUCUCCUGCCUCAACCUCCCCAGUAGCUGGGACUACAAAUGCACACCACCAUGCCCUGUUA